rnacentral:rRNA from 1 species
AUGGACGGGGCCACGCUGGUGGACUUCACGCCGCCCAAGCCAUCGCACGUCGUGAUGCAGCUCCACCCGGACAUGGAGGGCGACGUGUGGGAGGUAGUGCAGGUCCAGCUCAUGCGCUUUGCGUGCGGCUCGCUCGCCGUCGGGUUCACGGCCAACCACGCGAUCGCCGACGGCCACACCACCAGCUACUUCCUCAUUGCGUGGGGCCGUGCCGCGAGAGGGCUGGACAUCUCUGCUCCAUCACCGCCGCCCGACAAGGCCACAACCACCCGACCUCUUCCGGACGCGCAGCGUCGAGUACUACCGGUCGUCGUCCAGCAAUCUCAAGCACGUCGGGGCUGGCUGGGCACCACGGGGCCGACAACGUGA